rnacentral:rRNA from 1 species
GACGAAGGGGGCUAGCGUUGUUCGGAAUUACUGGGCGUAAAGCGCGUGUAGGCGGUUGUCCAAGUUGGAUGUGAAAGCCUUGAGCUCAACUCAAGAAAUGCAUUCAGGACUGGAUGACUAGAGGACCGGAGAGGAUAGUGGAAUUCCCAGUGUAGUGGUGAAAUACGUAGAGAUUGGGAAGAACACCAGUGGCGAAGGCGGCUAUCUGGACGGUUUCUGACGCUAAGACGCGAAAGCGUGGGGAGCGAACCGG